CCCCAUACUCCGUAGAGGCUGUUCGGUCUGGAAUGGUGAGCUUGGUGGCCUGCGUGGGUGAUAAGGAAGGGGAGUGACCCACACUGAGGGACCUCAGGGGCAAAGGCGGAGAACAGGGGAAAGGAGUUUGGCAGAGUGGGCAGGGCCAGGUCAGGAAAGGGUAGGGGUCAUGUGAGCAGCGUGGGCCUGGUCUAGGGCCACGGGGCGGCC